rnacentral:lncRNA from 13 species
AUGAGGAAAUGUUGGAAGCAAAUGAUAUAUUCAGCUGAGCAUUCUUCCCGGCAGUGGGAGCGAGAGCCUGAUUUGGACCUUAAAAACUUAGUGGCAACAGCAAAUAAGCAUUGGCCUGGAAAAUCCACCUCCUCUCAGGCAAAACAAGGCAGCCCCAGAAUGAAAACUGCCAAGAUCAAUUCAUUUUGAUAAAUCAACUGUUUCUGAUGGCUAUCUACACUGAACUGCAGCUGCUGUGGGGUUUUUUUCCCCCUAACAAAAUGAUUAUGAAGGAAAUGUGCUCCAACUAUUGCUCACAUUGUUUUAUUGAACUAAUGAAUAGCUCUGGGAAGCUCUAUGAAGACUUUUGAUCAAUUAUUGUGUGCAAAUUGUUUAAAAGGAAAUACAUCAUAAUUAGGCUAACAAAUCUGCUGUGAUGCUGCCUCUCCUGAUGAAUAAAUUUUUUGUAGAUAGGAGGGUAGACA